UUAUGUGAUUUCAAAAGUAAAUCGGAAAACUUUUGUGAAUGUGAAAAACGGAGCCUGGCUGAAUAAAAUGGAUUUAGUGCCAGAAAACUCCUCCAGUGCAAACAAGAGAACAACAGCAGGCGGCAGGGUGAAAUGGAGUGCCGCGCUUGAGUGCCUGCUGAUUGACAUAUGGCAGGAGAAAAUUGAAGAUUUGCGCGGACCACGCAGCACCCAAACAAAAUUCCAGAACGACUUAUUAGAAGUUUUAAAAAAUAAAAAUAAAUGAGUUUUUAAUUUUCA